rnacentral:rRNA from 1 species
AUGAAAACUAACCGCGCUCCUGGACCGGACAACAUACCGGUGGAGUUCUAUCAACAUUGUUGGGAUGUUGUGAGCCCUGAACUGUUCAAUCUUUUUGAAUGGUUUUACGAGGGCAACUUGGAUGUUCAACGCUUGAAUUAUGGGGUCAUCACGCUGCUGCCUAAAUCAGCUGAUGCUAAAACAAUCCAACAAUAUAGACCCAUUUGUUUGCUGCGGUGUCCCUAUAAACUGAUCACUAAAGCCAUGGAUCUUAGGGCCGCGAAGUUUGCUAAUAAAUUGUUUAGUAUUCAACAGAAUGCAUUUAUUAAGGGGAGACAUAUUGUGGACGGAAUACUAUCCUUGCAUGAGGUGAUGCAUUAUACUCAUGUGAAAAAAGAAGUGGGAGUGAUAUUUAAGAUCGAUUUUGAGAAAGCCUAUGACAAAGUGAAUUGGGAAUUCCUACUUGAUUGUCAUGUUAAAUGUGGCUUUAACACAAAGUGGUGUGGAUGGGUGUCGCAAAUCCUAAGGAAUGGCACGGUAAGUGUCAAGAUUAAUGACGAGACAGGUCCUUAUAUUCAGAUUGCUAAAGGGGUGCGACAAGGCGACCCACACUCUCUAUUCCUGUUCAAUCUUGCA